AGGCAACACAGAAAUAUUUGUAUUUUAUCUGAUCAAAGUAUUUAACCAUUAUUUUUCUCAGUUGACAGAUUUUAGAAAAAAUCGAUAGUGAAAAAUAUAGUUCUAAAAUUACAAUAUGAUGAAAAUUGUUCUUUUCGUGUUGGUUAUUGUUUCAGUGUCCACCGCUGCUGUCAUCGAAGAACGUCAAAAAAGGUCGGCCGAAAGUCAAACUGCCGCCAUCAUGCGCAUAUUCACUGCAUGUAGACCAUAUUGCUCAGUCAAUACAAACACCAAGGCAUUGCACAGCUGCGACAGUUUUAUACAAACAGGUGUGUGUAGCUUUUGUCAACUUCGUGUAUGUUCGCUGAUGAAUCUUGCGAAGGUAUUCGAGUAAAAGGGACGCCGUAUUUUCUGACUUAAGAAGAACUUGCGUUAAGACGUUUACUGGAAAUAUUAUAACAAAGCGAUGCUGAACACUUUCGCCGGGUCAUCGUGCAAUCAAGACAGCGAACAUCAUUCACAGUAUCUUCAAAUUGAUAUUUCCACUGAAUAACAAUUGUACAUAAUACAAAAUUGCUACUAAAUUGCCAAAUGUUCAUUUAUACAAAGCGUGUAUUUUUUUAUUUUUUAUAAAGAGUGUUAGAACAUUAAAGCGCCCUAGUUCUUGUUUUUUUUAAGUCGUACCAAACCAACUUGACGUUUUACGAUAUAUUAAAAUAAUGAUGUACAUGCUUUACAAAAUAUGAAAAACAAUA